UCGCCUACGGGUGGCUGCAGUCGAGAAUUUUUGGCAAUGGGCGAAAGCCUGACCAAGCGAUGCCGCGUGCGGGAUGAAGGCCUUCGGGUUGUAAACCGCUGUCAGUGGGGAGGAAAGCUUUGCGAAGAGCAAGGCUUGACCUAUCUGCAGAGGAAGUGUGGGCUAAGUUCGUGCCAGCAGCCGCGGUAAGACGAACCACACAAACGUUAUUCGGAAUUACUGGGCUUAAAGGGUGCGUAGGCUGCGCAGAAAGUUGGGUGUGAAAUCCCUCGGCUCAACCGAGGAACUGCGCCCAAAACUACUGUGCUUGAGGAAGAUAGAGGUAAGCGGAACUUACGGUGGAGCGGUGAAAUGCGUUGAUAUCGUAAGGAACACCUGUGGCGAAAGCGGCUUACUGGGUCUUUUCUGACGCUGAUGCACGAAAGCUAGGGGAGCAAACGGGAUUAGAUACCCCAGUAGUC
rnacentral:rRNA from 1 species